rnacentral:misc_RNA from 1 species
UGCAAACCACUGAUGUCUAUAUAUCAUUUUCAUUUGGAAUUAAUUGUAUGUUGUAAUUAUAAUAAAUUGGAAAAUUAAUCACAAAGAAAGGUAUCAAUAAACCAAAAAUUCAAACUCUAUAUGACAGAGUUCCAAUCCUUGAAAAUCUUUAAUUAUCUUUCAGUCUUCUUCUGGUGAGUCUGUGUUAUUUACAUUUGGGUUGAUGAAUCCGGCUAAUGGCCCCUGUAUAUCAGAACCAUAAAUAUGGCCCAUCUUGGUACGCUUUGUUUCCAAGUACCUCUUAUUUUCCUCUGUAAUGGAUGUCAACACUGGAAUUCUUCCAAUAACUGCCAACCCAUAUCCCUUCAAUCCAGUGAACUUUGCAGGAUUAUUAGUCAUCAGUCGCAUAGUUCGAACCCCUAUGUCCCUUAGAAUCUGAGCACCGAUGCCAUACUCGCGUGCAUCGACAGCUAAACCAAGUUCAAUGUUAGCUUGGACUGUGUCAUGACCUUGAUCCUGCAAAUUGUAGGCUCGAAGUUUAUGACCAAGGCCAAUCCCUCUUCCUUCAUGACCUCGAAGGUAAACCACAACGCCUCUACCGGCUUGCUCGAUUAAUUGCAUAGCCAAAUCCAAUUGGUUCCCACAAUCACAACGAGCUGAUCCAAAAAUAUCUCCAGUUAAACACUCUGAAUGAACUCUUACAAGAACAUCCUGUCCAUGUCCAAUAUUACCCUUCACAAGAGCUACAUGUUCUGUUCCAUCUAGCUUUGAUCGGUAGCAGUAAGCUUGAAAUAGACCCCAUUUGGUAGGCAGACGAGAAAUUGCACUUCUUUCAACCAAAUUUUCUCUUUUUCUCCUGUACCUUAUUAAAUCGGUUAUUGAGACGAUUGGUAUGCUGUGGUCCAAUGCCAACUUUCUUAAACUAGCUAGAGAAGCCAUGGAACCAUCCUCUGGAUCAACAAUAGCUGAAAGAACAGAAACUGGCUGCAAUCCUGCAAGCAUUACCAAGUCUACAGAUGCCUCAGUAUGACCUGCUCUCCUCAGAACACCACCAGUUCUAUACUUGAGUGGAAACACAUGGCCUGGUCUCCGAAAAUCUUCCGGCUUCGAUUCGGGGGAUGAAAGAGCAAGAACAGUCUUGGCCCUGUCUACUGCUGAUACUCCAGCGGAUGUUCCAGUUUUCGCAUCCUGAAAUGGGCAAUCAAGUAUUUAAUAAUAUAUAUGUAUAUCAAUUCAAGGCUAAAAUUAAAGGUACCUUUAGGACUAGCCAAUAUUACCACUGUGACCGUGAAAGUUGGGGCUGAAGAGUCUUCAUCUUCUGUCUCUGGAGACAUUAAAGGAAGCUUCAACCUUUCAAGAUCGUCCUCUUUCAUGCCUACAGAAACAAUUCCUGAUCCAUGUUUAACCAUAAAUGCCACAUGCUUAGGACUCGUAAGAGAUGCUGCCAUGACAAUAUUUCCUUCAAUAUCGCCAUUUUCAUCAUCUACAACAAUCACAAACUUUCCUUCGCGUAGAGUAUUUAGAGACUGCUCAAUUGAAGAGUAGCCUGGAGUUGGGCAGUCAGGAUCACCCGCAGCGUCACUAACGAAGAAAUCGAUGGUUUCAGGAGUAAUUUCAGCAUCAAGUGUUCCAAAUGGCGCUGAAGCAGAUUCAUCAAAAGCACUAAGCAAAGACCCAUUCUCACUUCCCUUCAAAGAACUGUCAUCAGACAAAUUUCGAGCUCCAAUUCCAGGACUCACCCCAAUACCCCAAAAUGUGGGACUAAACAACCUGUGUCUGUAUAACCCAAUUCCUGUAUUAUUGGGAGCUGCAAAAAGUCGAUGAAAACUUGAGUUGAUGAAGAUACGGGGACAAGAGAGGUGAGGAAAAAAGGCACAGUCCAUGGAAAGGAAAUGGUUAAAGAGAUUGUUCUUGUUCUUUUUAGAUAUCAAGAAUUUGCUCUGGUACUUAGUUCCUCCAUAAUUCGCAAGUUGCAGGCCAUGCAUGUAAACAAGAAAAGCUCACCUCUAGCUUUGGAUUGUGUUUCAAUUCAGAGCCGUUAUCCAAAAGUUUCAACCAAAUGAAGCGUACGGAUUUUUGUGACCACCAG